AGUGAACGCUGGCGGUAGGCCUAACACAUGCAAGUCGAACGGCAGCACAGAGGAGCUUGCUCCUUGGGUGGCGAGUGGCGGACGGGUGAGGAAUACAUCGGAAUCUACUCUGUCGUGGGGGAUAACGUAGGGAAACUUACGCUAAUACCGCAUACGACCUACGGGUGAAAGCAGGGGACCUUCGGGCCUUGCGCGAUUGAAUGAGCCGAUGUCGGAUUAGCUAGUUGGCGGGGUAAAGGCCCACCAAGGCGACGAUCCGUAGCUGGUCUGAGAGGAUGAGCAGCCGCACUGACACUGAGACACGGUCCAGACUCCUACGGGAGGCAGCAGUGGGGAAUAUUGGACAAUGGGCGCAAGCCUGAUCCAGCCAUACCGCGUGGGUGAAGAAGGCCUUCGGGUUGUAAAGCCCUUUUGUUGGGAAAGAAAUCCAGCUGGCUAAUACCCGGUUGGGAUGACGGUACCCAAAGAAUAAGCAUCGGCUAACUUCGCGCCAGCCGCCGCAGUAA
rnacentral:rRNA from 1 species